rnacentral:rRNA from 1 species
UUUUAGAAUUUAAUUUAAAGUCUAACCUGCCCACUGAAUAAUUUUAAAUGGCCGCAGUAUCUUAACUGUGCAAAGGUAGCAUAAUCAUUAGUCUUUUAAUUAAAGGCUGGAAUGAAUGGUUGGAUGAAAUAUUAACUGUUUCAUAAAAAUUUUUAGUAGAAUUUUAUUUUUUAGUCAAAAAGCUAAAAUUUAAUUAAAAGACGAGAAGACCCUAUAAAUCUUUAUAUUUAUAUAAUUUUAAUUAUUUAGAUAAAUUAAAUUAAAUUUAUUUUAAAUAUUUUAUUGGGGUGAUAUUAAAAUUUAAUAAACUUUUAAUAAAAUUUAAACAAAAAUUAAUGAAUUAUUGAUCCAUAAAUUAUGAUUAAAAAAUUAAGUUACUUUAGGGAUAACAGCGUAAUUUUUUUAGAGAGUUCAUAUUGAUAAAAA